rnacentral:tRNA from 1 species
GCCUGGGUGGCUCAGUGGGUUAAAGCCUCUGCCUUCGGCGCAGGUCAUGAUCCCAGGGUCAUGGGAUUGAGCCCCACCUUGGGCU